rnacentral:rRNA from 1 species
UACAGAGGGGGCAAGCGUUAUUCGGAAUUAUUGGGCGUAAAGGGCGCGUAGGCGGCUUGGCAAGCGGAAGGUGAAAUCCCUCGGCUUAACCGAGGAACUGCCCUCCAAACUGCUUUGCUUGAGGCCGGGAGAGGCGAGUGGAAUUCCCAGUGUAGCGGUGAAAUGCGUAGAUAUUGGGAGGAACACCAGUGGCGAAGGCGGCUCGCUGGACCGGUUCUGACGCUGAGGCGCGAAAGCGUGGGGAGCAAACGGG